rnacentral:rRNA from 1 species
ACUCCUACGGGAGGCAGCAGUGGGGAAUAUUGCACAAUGGGCGCAAGCCUGAUGCAGCAACGCCGCGUGAGCGAUGAAGGCCUUCGGGUCGUAAAGCUCUGUCCUCAAGGAAGAAUAAAUGACGGUACUUGAGGAGGAAGCCCGGCUAACUACGUGCCAGCAGCCGCGGUAAUACGUAGGGGGCAAGCGUUAUCCGGAAUCACUGGGGCGUAAAGGGGUGCGUAGGCGGUUUUUCAAGUCAGAAGUGAAAGGCUAUGGCUCAACCAUAGUAAGCUUUUGAAACUGUUAAACUUGAGUGCAGGAGAGGAAAGUGGAAUUCCUAGUGUAGAGGUGAAAUUCGUAGAUAUUAGGAGGAACACCAGUGGCGAAGGCGACUUUCUGGACUGUAACUGACGCUGAGGCACGAAAGCGUGGGGAGCGAACAGGAUUAGAUACCCUGGUAGCACAGGA